rnacentral:rRNA from 1 species
GAGGGCCGUAUUUAUUAGAUAACAGACCAAUAUUCCUCGUGUCUAUUGUGGUGAAUCAUAGUAACUAAUCGGAUCGCAUGGGCUUCGCCCGCGACAAACCAUUCAAGUUUCUGCCCCAUCAGCUUUCGAUGGUAGUGUAUUGGACUACCAUGGCUUUUACGGGUAACGGAGGAUUAGGGUUCGAUUCCGGAGAGGGAGCCUGAGAAACGGCUACCACAUCUAAGGAAGGCAGCAGGCGCGUAAAUUACCCAAUUCUGAUUCAGAGAGGUAGUG